rnacentral:rRNA from 1 species
CUGCUGCCUCCCGUAGGAGUUUGGUCCGUGUCUCAGUACCAAUGUGGGGGGUUAACCUCUCAGUCCCCCUAUGUAUCGUUGUCUUGGUGAGCCGUUACCCCACCAACUAACUAAUACAACGCAUGCCCAUCCAUUACCACCGGAGUUUUCAACCCAAGAAGAUGCCUCCCUGGAUGUUAUGGGGUAUUAGUACCGAUUUCUCAGUGUUAUCCCCCUGUAAUGGGUAGGUUGCAUACGCGUUACGCACCCGUGCGCCGGUCGCCGACAUAGA